rnacentral:misc_RNA from 1 species
AGAGGAGGGAAAAUGACAUUUAGAGAAAAACACAAGAUUAUACUUCCUCUCCAAAAAGGAGUAAUAUAAUCAUACAUCACACCAGUAGUAGAUCCUGAUUCUAAUUCGUGGGAUCCACUCAUCCCAACAAGCAGGUCUAUGAGACUUUAUGGUUGUUGGCCUCACCAAUCUUCCAAUCCCAACAACUUCACACCCAUCAUCUAGUUUUUCUGGAUUGUGAUUUCCUUCUAUCUUUCAUGCUCUCACGCUUAGGAUUCGAAAACUAAGCAUCUAAAGUUACAUUUUACAUGCCACAGCAAUUUUGGAGAAACCAAUCUCCCUUUCACAUCAUGAAGCAAAAACUAAAAUGUGAAGAGUAAAAAAAAAAACCAAAAAAAAGAAGAGGCAAAAUUCUCCACCCCAAGACACUGGCACAAAAAUAGCCAAGGACAAGCCUUCUACUCUCUCUCCUCUUUAGUCAACUGGGAAUAGCUUCUCUAAAAUAAACCUUCUGUACAAAAUGCUAGAUCAGUCACAUACCCACCAAUACCAUUGCAAAUUCCAUUCCUCACUAAUUUUCAGGGGUACUAAA